UAACUUGUGCUGUGGCAGAGUUUCACAA
rnacentral:piRNA from 1 species